UUCAAUCCACUUUUUCCAUUC
rnacentral:piRNA from 1 species